AAUUGAUUGACUAUUAAUUAUUGUUAAUAUUUUUACAUGUAGUAUUACUUGCUUCCAUUUUAUCUAAAAAAAAUUUUUUUUGAAAUAAAAAAAAAGCCAGCUUGUUUAUGUUCAGUAUUGAGGAAUAUAACACAAGAUAAACCUCAAAACAUUCAUAUACAUGAGACCAUUGCAGGGUUCUCACUAAGGCAAGUCCAUGAGUCCUGGACUCAUCAAAAUCUGUCUGGACUCACCAUUUUCAAAACUGGUGAGUCCACAGAUGCAUCAAGAUUGAAAUAUUUUGUAUAAACGGAACACAAUUAAACACAAAUAUCAUCAUUUUAUAGCAAAAGUUUAAAAGUUAUCUGAAUUUGAUAUUUCAUUUCAUUGCUCUGUUAGGAAAUGGAGACUAAAAUAUUACUUUAUAUUGCAAUAAAAUAUUUUCUUCUUGCUGUUGGACUCAUGAUACCUAAAAUUGAUGAGUCCCUGGAAAAUCCUUAUCGAGAACCCUGCCAUUGUCAAUCAUCAUACAAAAAAUGUACAGAUAUUGCUAAUUAUUACAUUGGUUGCAAUGAAUUACAUUGAUUUCCCAGUUAAAUAAAAACCGAUAAUUUCACAUGUGAAAUUAACAUGGUUAUUUCACUCUCUGACGUCAUACAACAGUAGGCGUUGUCAAGACGUCAAUAACGGCGGAUCAAAACAAAAUGUGAAUGCGUAGAAAAAAAGAUAUAGUUCCUUACAAGUUUUACAUUAAUUUCUUUUAAAAAAGCCAUUGCCAAUGUAAUAAAAAGAAUAACUAAUUAAAGAAUUCAAAUAUCAAAAAAUAUUCAACUCAUGACCAAACAAC
rnacentral:lncRNA from 1 species